rnacentral:rRNA from 1 species
AUACGUAGGGGGCAAGCGUUAUCCGGAUUUACUGGGUGUAAAGGGAGCGCAGGCGGCCAUUUAAGUCAGCGGUUAAAUCGUGGGGCUCAACCCCAUUCUGCCGUUGAUACUGGGUGGCUUGAUUGCGGUCGAGGUUGGCGGAAUUCGUUGUGUAGCGGUGAAAUGCAUAGAUAUGACGAAGAACACCGAUUGCGUAGGCAGCUGACCAGACCGCAAAUGACGCUCAUGCACGAAAGUGCGGGGAUCGAACAGGAUUAGAUACCCUGGUAGUCCGCACAGUAAACGAUGAAUACUUGUUUUCGGCGAUAUAAUGUCGGAGGCAAAGCGAAAGCGAUAAGUAUUCCACCUGGGGAGUACGCCGGCAACGGUGAAACUCAAAGGAAUUGACGGGG